rnacentral:rRNA from 1 species
UACGUAGGGGGCAAGCGUUGUCCGGAGUUACUGGGCGUAAAGCGCACGCAGGCGGUCUGUUAAGUUUGGAGUGACAGUUGGUGGCUUAACUGCCAAAGUGCUUCGAAAACUGAUUGACUUGAGGGCUUCAGAGGGACACGGAAUUCCGGGUGGAGUGGUGAAAUGCGUAGAGAUCCGGAGGAACACCGAAGGCGAAGGCAGUGUCCUGGGGAGUACCUGACGCUCAGGUGCGAAAGCCAGGGGAGCGAACGGG